AUACAGACCUGACGGGGAUACAGCUACCAAGAAGGUGGGCUUCCUGGAGUGAUUUAUCCAUUGCACUUGGGAUAUACUGACCCUUGUGAUUUCCCCAAGUUCAGGAAACUUGACUGCAUAAUUAGUGGUAGUUGGGGACUGUGUUCCUGCUCCCCCCCC